AGAACGAACGCUGGCGGCAUGCCUAACACAUGCAAGUCGAACGAGACCUUCGGGUCUAGUGGCGCACGGGUGCGUAACGCGUGGGAAUCUGCCCUUGGGUUCGGGAUAACAGUUGGAAACGACUGCUAAUACCGGAUGAUGACUUCGGUCCAAAGAUUUAUCGCCCAGGGAUGAGCCCGCGUAGGAUUAGCUUGUUGGUGAGGUAAGAGCUCACCAAGGCGACGAUCCUUAGCUGGUCUGAGAGGAUGAUCAGCCACACUGGGACUGAGACACGGCCCAGACUCCUACGGGAGGCAGCAGUGGGGAAUAUUGGACAAUGGGCGAAAGCCUGAUCCAGCAAUGCCGCGUGAGUGAUGAAGGCCUUAGGGUUGUAAAGCUCUUUUACCCGGGAUGAUAAUGACAGUACCGGAGAAUAAGCCCCGCUAACUCCGUGCCAGCAGCCGC
rnacentral:rRNA from 1 species